rnacentral:rRNA from 1 species
GAUGAACGCUGGCGGCGUGCCUAAUACAUGCAAGUCGAGCGAACAGACGAGGAGCUUUCUCCUCUGACGUUAGCGGCGGACGGGUGAGUAACACGUGGAUAACCUACCUAUAAGACUGGGAUAACUUCGGGAAACCGGAGCUACUACCGGAAAAUAUAUCGACCCUCUUGGUUCAUUAGUUAAAUACGCUUUUGCUUUCAUUAAUAGCUGAAUCCGCGCCCCAUUAGCUAGUUGUUAAGGUAACGGCUUACCAAGGCAACGACGCGUAGCCGACCUGAGAGGGUGAUCGGCCACACUGGAACUGAGACACGGUCCAGACUCCUACGGGAGGCAGCAGUAGGGAAUCUUCCGCAAUGGGCGAAAGCCUGACGGAGCAACGCCGCGUGAGUGAUGAAGGUCUUCGGAUCGUAAAGCUCUGUUAGUAGGGAAGAACAAAUGUGUAAGUAACUAUGCACGUCUUGACGGUACCUAAUGAGAAAGCUACGGCUAACUACGUG